UAAAUUUUCGUACACUAAAGGCAAGGAAAUUAAGAAGAAAACUGUAUAAUUGAGAUACAAAUCAUCAAAAAAAGAGUCUAUCAAAUGUUUGUAAACAUUGCGUCGCAAAAAGUACCGAUAUGAAAAAUUAUUAGCUCAACUAUUGUUAGCAAUAACACUGACAUGAACGUUAGCAAAAGCAACAUAUCAAUCUUUACAAUAUUCAAAAAGGAAAACACUUACUGAAGGUUUCUGCGAAGAGUUACGAAAAUCAAAAUACAAUUAAGAAAGCUAUUUAAACCUAAAAGGCUUAUGAGUCAUUAAUAAAUAAUAGCGAGUUUUAUUAACUGCUAAUACUUGCAAUAUAUUGUUAAUGAAACCUCUUGCAUUCCAAAUUUAGAAUGUAACAAGCCUUGUAGUCUCGAUUACUAAUUUUCUGAAUCAAUAACAUG